GUAUAAUGACCACCCAGACUACGGUUCAAAUGAUGGGAGACGCCAAGCCAUCGAUCGCAUGCGAGUGAAUGGAGCAUCCGGUCAAUGGAACCCAAGAAUGGCAGAAGAUAGGCGUCAUUUUAGUACUCCCUUUGUCGUGGAUGGAGGAUACCCGGAAAGACGUGUGGAUAGAAAAGCAAUCGGUUAUUGAUUGAUAUGAUGACUUCUACCUUCGGAAAGGCACGGAUAAGACAACGGAACAUGGAUUUGUGAUAAAUGUUGCAUACC